rnacentral:rRNA from 1 species
UACGUAGGCGGAAAAUUAAGUCAGUAGUGAAAUCCCGCAGCUUAACUGUGGAACUGUUAUUGAUACUGGUUUUCUUGAAUAUAGUUGAGGUAGGCGGAAUGUGUAAUGUAGCGGUGAAAUGCUUAGAUAUUACACAGAACACCGAUUGCGAAGGCAGCUUACUAAGCUAUGAUUGACGCUGAGGGACGAAAGCGUGGGGAGCGAACAGGAUUAGAUACCCUGGUAGUCC